rnacentral:rRNA from 1 species
AACCCUGAUCCAGCCAUGCCGCGUGAGUGAAGAAGGCCUUCGGGUUGUAAAGCUCUUUCGGCCGGGAAGAAAUCGUGCGGGCUAAUACCCUGUAUGGAUGACGGUACCGGAAGAAGAAGCACCGGCUAACUACGUGCCAGCAGCCGCGGUAAUACGUAGGGUGCGAGCGUUAAUCGGAAUUACUGGGCGUAAAGCGUGCGCAGGCGGUUUCGUAAGACAGAUGUGAAAUCCCCGGGCUUAACCUGGGAACUGCGUUUGUGACUGCGAGACUUGAGUGCGGCAGAGGGGGGUGGAAUUCCACGUGUAGCAGUGAAAUGCGUAGAGAUGUGGAGGAACACCGAUGGCGAAGGCAGCCCCCUGGGUCGACACUGACGCUCAUGCACGAAAGCGUGGGGAGCAAACAGGAUUAGAUACCCUGGUAGUCCACGCCCUAAACGAUGCGAACUAGGUGUUGGGGAAGGAGACUUCUUUAGUACCGUAGCUAACGCGUGAAGUUCGCCGCCUGGNGAGUACGGGUCGCAAGAUUAAAACUCAAAGG